rnacentral:lncRNA from 1 species
GUGGAGUCUCUCAGUUGGAACUGAGAUGAGACUAAGCUGCGCCUCCCAGUGCAUCCCUCAAGAUGGCUCCAGAAGGCUGUGGCUCAAGCCCGUCCUCCUUUAGGUUAAUGCCUACAAUAAGUGUUCUUGAAAUACAGUCACGCGUUGCUUAACCAUGGGGAUAUAUUCUGAUAAAUUCAUCAUUAGGCGAUUUCAUCACUGGGCGAACAUCACAGCUCGUACUCACACAAACCUAGAUGUCAUAGCCUACUACACACCUAGGCUAUAUGAUAUAGGCUAUUGCUAGCAACAAACCUGUACAGCAUGUUACUGUCUUGAAUACUUAGGCAGCAGAGCACAAUGUUAUAGAAACAGAUGAUCAGUGGCCCACGGAUUCCAGGUGAGGAUCUGGGACCCAGACAUCCAGAUAUUGAAAACACAGGGAUGGAGUCUGUAUGGAAAAAAUUAAAAUAUAGCAAAAUGUGAAAUACGGAAGAGAAAUCUUUCAAUUUCCCAAUGGAAGUGAGAAAAGAGCAAAGAAAAGUAUUGGUCUUCCAAAACAAAUAGAGGACGGAGCUGCUGCUGUUGCAUGGUGUCUAGAAACUCAGACAACUUCAUCAUUCCAUAUUUGCAUCCAAGAGAGAGAAAGAAAAACUACAAUCAUUUUCCAUUUACCCAUCAACCCAUCAACCUCCAAAUAAAGGCUAUUAAAAAACAAUCAAAGUGUGAAGAGGGCAGAAAAUGUGAUGAAGAGAUUCUUUGGAGAAAGUAGCUGCCACUGUUACCUUGGGAUCUGCCUAUAGUCCUCACAGAGCUUGCCCUUGCAGGAUAGAACAUAGGAGUCUGGGAGUCUGCAAGAAGAGACAGGGUCUCACUAUGUUGCCCCAGUUGGCCUUGAA